GACGAACGCUGGCGGCGUGCCUAAUACAUGCAAGUAGAACGCUGAAGGAGGAGCUUGCUCUUCUGGAUGAGUUGCGAACGGGUGAGUAACGCGUAGGUAACCUGCCUGGUAGCGGGGGAUAACUAUUGGAAACGAUAGCUAAUACCGCAUAACAGUAGAUGUUGCAUGACAUUUGCUUAAAAGGUGCAAUUGCACCACUACCAGAUGGACCUGCGUUGUAUUAGCUAGUUGGUGGGGUAACGGCUCACCAAGGCGACGAUACAUAGCCGACCUGAGAGGGUGAUCGGCCACACUGGGACUGAGACACGGCCCAGACUCCUACGGGAGGCAGCAGUAGGGAAUCUUCGGCAAUGGACGGAAGUCUGACCGAGCAACGCCGCGGGAGUGAAGAAGGGUUUCGGAUCGUAAAGCUCUGUUGUAAGAGAAGAACGAGUGUGAGAGUGGAAAGUUCACACUGUGACGGUAUCUUACCAGAAAGGGACGGCUAACUACGUG
rnacentral:rRNA from 1 species